AGGAGGUUUGGGUCCCCAGUUCCAUGGAGGCUGGGCAUGAGGCCCUGGGCAGCUGGAGGUUUGCCUGUUGUUACUUGUUGUUACUCUGCUCCCCAACCCUCCUAUACCUCCUCCCCGACCCCUGACCAAUGCCCAAGAGAACUACAUGUGCUUGACUGCAGAUGGGUGAGAGAAGAAAACCAAAGUCAGGACAACUAUAACAUUCAGAAGAAAAAAAUACUUGUGGAUGAAGAUACCAUCUCUGAGAACAUUCCACUUGCUACAGGCUUGCUUUCUGGGGAAGCACAUCUAGUCUCCGAACACUCAGAGGAAAAGAUACUUGUGCCUGAAAACACUGUUUCUGAAAACAUGGCUGUUACUACACAAUUACUUUCUGGGGAAAUGCAUCGAGUGUCCAAGCACUCAGAGGAAAAGAUCCUUGUUGCAGGAGACACUGUCUCUGAGAACUUAACAGUUACUACAAAAUUACUUUCAGGGGAAUCACAUCUAAUCUUAAAACAUUCACUAGACAAGACAUUUGGGGUUGAAGACACUGUCUCUGAGAACAUUCCACUUACUAUAGGCUUGCUUUCUGGGGAAGUACAUCUAGUCUCUGAACACUGAGGAAAAAAUACUUGUGACAGGAGACACUGUCUCUGAGAACUUAACAGUUACUACAAAAUUACUUUCAGGGGAAAUACAUCUAUCUAAUCGUAAAACAUACACUAGACAAGACUUUUGGGGCUGGAGACACUGUCUCUGAGAACAUGCCGGUAACUAUAAAAUUGCUUUCUGCUGACACACAUCUAGUAUUAAAACAUUUUGUAGACAACACAUCCGGGGGCUGGAGACACUGUCUCUGAAAACAAAUCGGCGACCACAGGCUUACUCCCAAUGGAGUAUAGUCCUUCAAGACAAGACGCAAUCUUUAAUGAAAUCGAAGACUUUCAAACAUUCCUGAUGAAAAGACCAGAGCUGAAUAGAAAAUCACACACAAGACUCAAGAGGACACAAAAAAGAAAAGAAAAACAAAGUA